UACGAAGGGUGCAAGCGUUACUCGGAAUUACUGGGCGUAAAGCGUGCGUAGGUGGUGAGUUAAGUCUGUCGUGAAAGCCCCGGGCUCAACCUGGGAAUGGCGAUGGAAACUGGCGAGCUAGAGUACGGUAGAGGAGAGUGGAAUUCCCGGUGUAGCAGUGAAAUGCGUAGAGAUGCGGAGGAACACCGAUGGCGAAGGCAGCUCUCUGGGACGGUACUGACGCUGAGACGCGAAAGCGUGGGGAGCGAACAGG
rnacentral:rRNA from 1 species